UGGUAACUUUCCUAAAUUACACAACCAAGGGUCAGGUACCUUACAACUAAGAUCUCAUGAAGUCUCAUCCAGUUGUCAUCCCAGAAUAAUCUUUUUUUUUCUAAUUUGCAGUAUCUCUUUAAAAUUAGCUCCCUUCAAAAUAUAUGUUCAAAUUCUCAUACUGAAGGAAGUUGAGGAAUAAAAAUACAUUUUGGAAAUAUAAAAACAGUGAAACCAAUGAGACCAAAUCAUUCCAUUUCUUCCCUACACUUCAUAAAAUUCAUCCAGUCAACCUACAGAAAGAAAAGUAAAAAUAAACUAGGAAAAAAAGUAAAACUGAAACAAAAACCUAAACCUCAACUGUGAAGAAAUGAAUUUUCACUAAAGGCCUACAGAUUCAAUACCUGUUCUAAGGACUAAAAAUAUAGCAGUGAAGAAAGCAAAACCACUGUUUUGGUGAAAGCUACAGUCUAAUAAAGGAGUCAGAUAUUAAAGAAAUAGCAUACAUUCAGAUAACAAUUGAUGAAGUGAAGUGUGGAUGGGCCUCUUCCAAUCCAUUGAAGGCAAAGACUAAGGUUUCUCAAAGAAAACAGAAUGUUGCCUCUAGAGUGCCACAUUAACAUACUGUUGGAGUUAUGAGGCUUUGGACUUAAGGCUGCAACAUUAACUAUCAUCUGAAUCUGGAUCCUGCUCUCUUGCUCUGUGGAUUUCAGGCAUGUGUGCAUAUAAAAUGCAUGUGUAG